rnacentral:rRNA from 1 species
GACGAACGCUGGCGGCGUGCUUAACACAUGCAAGUCGAACGGAAAGGCCCUGCUUUUGUGGGGUGCUCGAGUGGCGAACGGGUGAGUAACACGUGAGUAACCUGCCCUUGACUUUGGGAUAACUUCAGGAAACUGGGGCUAAUACCGGAUAGGAGCUCCUGCUGCAUGGUGGGGGUUGGAAAGUUUCGGCGGUUGGGGAUGGACUCGCGGCUUAUCAGCUUGUUGGUGGGGUAGUGGCUUACCAAGGCUUUGACGGGUAGCCGGCCUGAGGGGGUGACCGGCCACAUUGGGACUGAGAUACGGCCCAGACUCCUACGGGAGGCAGCAGUGGGGAAUAUUGCACAAUGGGCGGAAGCCUAAUGCAGCAACGCCGCGUGCGGGAUGACGGCCUUCGGGUUGUAAACCGCUUUCGCCUGUGACGAAGCGUGAGUGACGGUAAUGGGUAAAGAAGCACCGGCUAACUACGUGCCAGCAGCCGCGGUGAUACGUAGGGUGCGAGCGUUGUCCGGAUUUAUUGGGCGUAAAGGGCUCGUAGGUGGUUGAUCGCGUCGGAAGUGUAAUCUUGGGGCUUAACCCUGAGCGUGCUUUCGAUACGGGUUGACUUGAGGAAGGUAGGGGAGAAUGGAAUUCCUGGUGGAGCGGUGGAAUGCGCAGAUAUCAGGAGGAACACCAGUGGCGAAGGCGGUUCUCUGGGCCUUUCCUGACGCUGAGGAGCGAAAGCGUGGGGAGCGAACGGGCUUAGAUACCCUGGUAGUCCACGCUGUAAACGGUGGGUACUAGGUGUGGGGUCCAUUCCACGGGUUCCGUGCCGUAGCUAACGCUUUAAGUACCCCGCCUGGGGAGUACGGCCGCAAGGCUAAAACUCAAAGGAAUUGACGGGGCCCCGCACAAGCGGCGGAGCAUGCGGAUUAAUUCGAUGCAACGCGUAGAACCUUACCUGGGUUUGACAUGGAUCGGGAGUGCUCAGAGAUGGGUGUGCCUCUUUUGGGGUCGGUUCACAGGUGGUGCAUGGCUGUCGUCAGCUCGUGUCGUGAGAUGUUGGGUUAAGUCCCGCAACGAGCGCAACCCUUGUUCACUGUUGCCAGCACGUUAUGGUGGGGACUCAGUGGAGACCGCCGGGGUCAACUCGGAGGAAGGUGGGGAUGACGUCAAGUCAUCAUGCCCCUUAUGUCCAGGGCUUCACGCAUGCUACAAUGGCUGGUACAGAGAGUGGCGAGCCUGUGAGGGUGAGCGAAUCUCGGAAAGCCGGUCUCAGUUCGGAUUGGGGUCUGCAACUCGACCUCAUGAAGUCGGAGUCGCUAGUAAUCGCAGAUCAGCAACGCUGCGGUGAAUACGUUCCCGGG